rnacentral:snRNA from 1 species
AUCGCUUCUCGGCCUUUUGGCUAAGAUCAAGUGUAGUAUCUGUUCUUAUCAGUUUAACAUUUGGAUAAAUAGUAACAUAUCUCCAUUUUAGACAGUUGACAAGAAUUUAC